rnacentral:rRNA from 1 species
UGGGGAAUAUUGGACAAUGGGCGAAAGCCUGAUCCAGCCAUGCCGCGUGUGUGAAGAAGGCCUUAUGGUUGUAAAGCACUUUAGCGAGGAGGAGGGUACUGGUAUUAAUACUACCAGCUACUGGACGUUACUCGCCGAAUAAGCACCGGCUAACUCUGUGCCAGCAGCCGCGGUAAUACAGAGGGUGCGAGCGUUAAUCGGAUUUACUGGGCGUAAAGCGUGCGUAGGCGGCUAAUUGAGUCGGAUGUGAAAUCCCCGAGCUUAACUUGGGAAUUGCAUUCGAUACUGGUUAGCUAGAGUGUGGGAGAGGAUGGUAGAAUUCCAGGUGUAGCGGUGAAAUGCGUAGAGAUCUGGAGGAAUACCGAUGGCGAAGGCAGCCAUCUGGCCUAACACUGACGCUGAGGUACGAAAGCAUGGGGAGCAAACAGG